rnacentral:rRNA from 1 species
AUUGAACGCUGGCGGCAGGCCUAACACAUGCAAGUCGAGCGGAUGAAGGGAGCUUGCUCCUGGAUUCAGCGGCGGACGGGUGAGUAAUGCCUAGGAAUCUGCCUGGUAGUGGGGGAUAACGUCCGGAAACGGGCGCUAAUACCGCAUACGUCCUGAGGGAGAAAGUGGGGGAUCUUCGGACCUCACGCUAUCAGAUGAGCCUAGGUCGGAUUAGCUAGUUGGUGGGGUAAAGGCCUACCAAGGCGACGAUCCGUAACUGGUCUGAGAGGAUGAUCAGUCACACUGGAACUGAGACACGGUCCAGACUCCUACGGGAGGCAGCAGUGGGGAAUAUUGGACAAUGGGCGAAAGCCUGAUCCAGCCAUGCCGCGUGUGUGAAGCAGGUCUUCGGAUUGUAAAGCACUUUAAGUUGGGAGGAAGGGCAGUAAGUUAAUACCUUGCUGUUUUGACGUUACCAACAGAAUAAGCACCGGCUAACUUCGUG